rnacentral:rRNA from 1 species
GACGAACGCUGGCGGCGUGCUUAACACAUGCAAGUCGAACGGUGACGGAGAGCUUGCUCUCCUGAUCAGUGGCGAACGGGUGAGUAACACGUGGGCAAUCUGCCCCUGACUUCGGGAUAACGCUUCGAAAGAGGUGCUAAUACCGGAUACGAACUCGGCAGGCAUCUGCUGAGUUGGAAAGUUUUUCGGUCAGGGAUGAGCCCGCGGCCUAUCAGCUUGUUGGUGAGGUAACGGCUCACCAAGGCGACGACGGGUAGCCGGCCUGAGAGGGCGACCGGCCACACUGGGACUGAGACACGGCCCAGACUCCUACGGGAGGCAGCAGUGGGGAAUAUUGCGCAAUGGGCGAAAGCCUGACGCAGCAACGCCGCGUGAGGGAUGACGGCCUUCGGGUUGUAAACCUCUUUCAGCAGGGAAGAAGCGAAAGUGACGGCACCUGCAGAAGAAGCACCGGCUAACUACGUGCCAGCCGCCGCCGUAA